AGUUGAUAUGGCUCAGGAUGAACGCUAGCUACAGGCUUAACACAUGCAAGUCGAGGGGCAGCGGGAGGAAGCUUGCUUCUCCGCCGGCGACCGGCGAAUGGGUGAGUAACGCGUAUCCGAACCUGGCCUAUGGCUCUGGGAUAGCCCUUAGGAAAUGAGGAUUAAUACGAGAUAGUCUACCUUUGAUCGCCUGAGAUUAGGAGUAAAGACUUGUCGGCAUAAGGAUGGGGAUGCGUUCCAUUAGAUAGUUGGCGGGUAACGGCCCACCAAGUCGAUGAUGGAUAGGGGUUCUGAGAGGAAGGUCCCCCACACUGGUACUGAGACACGGACCAGACUCCUACGGGAGGCAGCAGUGAGGAAUAUUGGUCAAUGGGGCGAGAGCCUGAACCAGGCCAAGUCGCGUUGAAGGAUGAAGGUCUUAUGGAUUGUAAACUUCUUUUGCAAGGGAAUAAAGUGGGGACGUGUCCUCCUUUGCAUGUACCUUGCGAAUAAGGAUCCGGCUAACUCCGUGCCAGCCGCGGC
rnacentral:rRNA from 1 species